AUUUCUCAUCCUCUCUCUUCGAUUUCAUAUAUGUUGUUAGAUUAAAAGGGAAAAUAUGAGAACUAACUCAAGCAAGUGUUCUUGAUGUAAGCUAAAAGAUCAAUUUAACUUUUCGUCCCUGUCAAUUUAGUGCUUUUUCUUUUCUUAUUACUUUUAGGAGUUGAUUGUUGAGAUAUAUUAUGACUAACAAAUUUACUGUUGCGUGUUGUCAUCUUUUUUGGUGAAGAUUUCUUUUUUGAAAACUGUAUGCCAUGACAAAAUAAAUUUAGAAGGAAAGUCUUUUCAUAUUAAAUCCAUGUCAGCCUGACCACUGCCACCCUGGAACCUUCGCGCUUCUUCUUCUCCAUUCUCUUGGACCAAGCAUGAAAUCCCAAGCACUAUAUCACCACAAAGCGAGCAAGCUGAAAAGCAAUCCAGCAAACCCUUUUUCCAGAAGCACUUAACAUAACCUUUCUAUGGGUUAAUUGUUGUUUCAAUUAUACCAGAUUGAAAACGAGUAUGGAACCAUUGGUCAAGCAUACGGGGCUGUUGCUUCUUUUUCUCAAGGAAACAGAGCAUUUUUUUUAUAACCACAUCUUUUGUAAUCAGCUCGGUUGAAUGUAUAAAAGCCAAGCUUAUCUUA